rnacentral:rRNA from 1 species
GGGAAUAUUGGGCAAUGGGCGAAAGCCUGACCCAGCAACGCCGCGUGAAGGAAGAAGGUCUUCGGAUUGUAAACUUCUUUUAUGAGGGACGAAGGACGUGACGGUACCUCAUGAAUAAGCCACGGCUACCUACGUGCCCGCAGCCGCGGUAAUACGUAGGUGGCAAGCGUUAUCCGGAUUUACUGGGUGUAAAGUGCGCGUAGGCGGGGAUGCAAGUCAGAUGUGAAAUCUAUGGGCUUAACUCAUAAACUGCAUUUGAAACUGUAUCUCUUGAGUGCUGGAGAGGUAGACGGAAUUCCUUGUGUAGCGGUGAAAUGCGUAGAUAUAAGGAAGAACACCAGUGGCGAAGGCGGUCUACUGGACAGUAACUGACGCUGAGGCGCGAGAGCGUGGGGAGCAAACAGG